rnacentral:rRNA from 1 species
GACUACUGGGGUAUCUAAUCCUGUUUGAUCCCCACGCUUUCGUGCAUCAGCGUCAAUCACAGUUUAGCAAGCUGCCUUCGCAAUCGGUGUUCUGUGUAAUAUCUAAGCAUUUCACCGCUACAUUACACAUUCCGCCUACCUCAACUGCAUUCAAGACAUUCAGUAUCAAUGGCAAUGUUACGGUUGAGCCGCAAGAUUUCACCACUGACUUAAAUAUCCGCCUACGCACCCUUUAAACCCAAUGAAUCCGGAUAACGCUUGCAUCCUCCGUAUUACCGCGGCUGCUGGCACGGAGUUAGCCGAUGCUUAUUCCCAAGGUACCGGCAACUACCUACUCGUAGAUAGGUUUCUUCCCUUAGAAAAGCAGUUUACAAUUCAUAGAACAUUCAUCCUGCACGCGGCAUGGCUGGUUCAGUCUUGCGCCCAUUGACCAAUAUUCCUCACUGCUGCCCCCCGUAGG